rnacentral:lncRNA from 1 species
UCGCGAUGGAAGUGGCAGUAGCAUUUUCGAUCACAAGAUUUCAUCUUCAUUGAUGGGGGUCGGUGAAAAAAGUUCUCCCCCUCGAUCUCCAUAAAAAUCUGUGAUCGAAAAGUAGUCAGAAGGGUGUAGGAGUCGUAUCUACUCACAAAGUUCUUGGGCUUUUAGCUUAAUCAAGAAGGUGGAGCCUCCUUAAGAAGGUGGAGCCUCCUUCUUGGCACGGAUCCAACUAAGCUCACCAGAGACUCCUCAUUUCCUUGCCUUCUUCUUUUGGCUCUUUUCCUCAAAUAAGCAUCGAUCAGUCGUAGCUUUCUCAGCACGGA